rnacentral:rRNA from 1 species
GUGACUGCGUACCUUUUGUAUAAUGGGUCAGCGACUUAUAUUCUGUAGCAAGGUUAACCGAAUAGGGGAGCCGGAGGGAAACCGAGUCUUAACCGGGCGUUAAGUUGCAGGGUAUAGACCCGAAACCCGGUGAUCUAGCCAUGGGCAGGUUGAAGGUUGGGUAACACUAACUGGAGGACCGAACCGACUAAUGUUGAAAAAUUAGCGGAUGACCUGUGGCUGGGGGUGAAAGGCCAAUCAAACCGGGAGAUAGCUGGUUCUCCCCGAAAGCUAUUUAGGUAGCGCCUCGUGAAUUCAUCUCCGGGGGUAGAGCACUGUUUCGGCUAGGGGGCCAUCCCGGCUUACCAACCCGAUGCAAACUGCGAAUACCGGAGAAUGUUAUCACGGGAGACACACGGCGGGUGCUAACGUCCGUCGUGAAGAGGGAAACAACCCAGACCGCCAGCUAAGGUCCCAAAGUCAUGGUUAAGUGGGAAACGAUGUGGGAAGGCCCAGACAGCCAGGAUGUUGGCUUAGAAGCAGCCAUCAUUUAAAGAAAGCGUAAUAGCUCACUGGUCGAGUCGGCCUGCGCGGAAGAUGUAACGGGGCUAAACCAUGCACCGAAGCUGCGGCAGCGACGCUUAUGCGUUGUUGGGUAGGGGAGCGUUCUGUAAGCCUGUGAAGGUGGCCUGUGAGGGUUGCUGGAGGUAUCAGAAGUGCGAAUGCUGACAUAAGUAACGAUNACGUAUCACCCAAGACAACUUUACGGAGUUGACGAUUGACGGAGCGAAGCGACGUCAAAGCGUUCAUUAAAGUCGAGUUGGCUUAGGGAUACGUUCGUUGGGUAGGGGAGCGUUCUGUAAGCCUGCGAAGGUGGCCUGUGAGGGUUGCUGGAGGUAUCAGAAGUGCGAAUGCUGACAU